rnacentral:rRNA from 1 species
GACGAACGCUGGCGGCGUGCCUAAUACAUGCAAGUCGAACGCACUCUCGUUUAGAUUGAAGGAGCUUGCUCCUGAUUGAUAAACAUUUGAGUGAGUGGCGGACGGGUGAGUAACACGUGGGUAACCUGCCCUAAAGUGGGGGAUAACAUUUGGAAACAGAUGCUAAUACCGCAUAAAACCUAAACACCGCAUGGUGUAGGGUUGGAAGAUGGUUUCGGCUAUCACUUUAGGAUGGACCCGCGGUGCAUUAGUUAGUUGGUGAGGUAAAGGCUCACCAAGACCGUGAUGCAUAGCCGACCUGAGAGGGUAAUCGGCCACACUGGGACUGAGACACGGCCCAGACUCCUACGGGAGGCAGCAGUAGGGAAUCCUCCACAAUGGACGAAAGUCUGAUGGAGCAACGCCGCGUGAGUGAAGAAGGUUUUCGGAUCGUAAAACUCUGUUGUUGGAGAAGAAUGUAUCUGAUAGUAACUGAUCAGGUAGUGACGGUAUCCAACCAG